CCUACGGGAGGCAGCAGUGAGGAAUAUUGGACAAUGGGCGCAAGCCUGAUCCAGCCAUGCCGCGUGCAGGAUGACGGUCCUAUGGAUUGUAAGCUGCUUUUAUACAGGAAGAAACACUACUUCGUGAAGUAGCUUGACGGUACUGUAAGAAUAAGGAUCGGCUAACUCCGUGCCAGCAGCCGCGGUAA
rnacentral:rRNA from 1 species